UCCGUGACAUUCAACUAGAACGUGCAAUAAUAAUAAUGCAAUUCAAUCAAAUGAUUCAGUAUCAUAUAUUUUUCCAUUUUGUGUAUUUUGCUUUAUAAAAUCGUGCGGCAUUCAACGUGUUAAUAACAAAGUAGUGAAAUCGAUCACGGUUCAGAAAGAAGUCGUAAGAGAUUAACCUGUUAACUCGUAUACUCGUCAAACGCAAUUAACUGGUUAAACGGAUGCAGUGUCACGUCACGAGGAUUAUUUAAUUGUCGAAGGAGGAAAAAAGGUGGAAACAACAAAGAAGGAAACCGAAGUGAGUGGUGGAAACCCGACGACGACGAGACGGACUGAC